GGGCCCGCACAAGCGGUGGAGCAUGUGGUUUAAUUCGAUGCAACGCGAAGAACCUUACCUGGUCUUGACAUCCACGGAAGUUUUCAGAGAUGAGAAUGUGCCUUCGGGAACCGUGAGACAGGUGCUGCAUGGCUGUCGUCAGCUCGUGUUGUGAAAUGUUGGGUUAAGUCCCGCAACGAGCGCAACCCUUAUCCUUUGUUGCCAGCGGUCCGGCCGGGAACUCAAAGGAGACUGCCAGUGAUAAACUGGAGGAAGGUGGGGAUGACGUCAAGUCAUCAUGGCCCUUACGACCAGGGCUACACACGUGCUACAAUGGCGCAUACAAAGAGAAGCGACCUCGCGAGAGCAAGCGGACCUCAUAAAGUGCGUCGUAGUCCGGAUUGGAGUCUGCAACUCGACUCCAUGAAGUCGGAAUCGCUAGUAAUCGUGGAUCAGAAUGCCACGGUGAAUACGUUCCCGGGCCUUGUACACACCGCCCGUCACACCAUGGGAGUGGGUUGCAAAAGAAGUAGGUAGCUUAACCUUCGGGAGGGCGCUUACCACUUUGUGAUUCAUGACUGGGGUGAAGUCGUAACAAGGUAACCGUAGGGGAACCUGCGGUUGGAUCACCUCCUUA
rnacentral:rRNA from 1 species